GUAGCGUGAUACUCUCCAUGACACCUGGUGGAUCGUGUUCCACCGACACCAGGAGAAUAACCUUCUCCUCAGAGAGGAGCACAAAGCCAGAGAACUACCUCUGCCUUUUAGUCAUGGAGCACACGUCUACCCUGAGAGACAGGCGGAGAAUGGUUAUUAUGGGAUGCAGAUCAUUAAGGAGCAGGUAGGGGUUAGACAGUACAUGGACAGGUCAUUAAGGAGCAGGUAGGGGUUAGACAGUACAUGGACAGAUCAUUAAGGAGCAGGUAGGGGUUAGACAGUACAGGGACAGGUCAUUAAGGAGCAGAUAGGGGUUAGACAGUACAUGGACAGGUCAUUAAGGAGCAGGUAGGGGUUAGACAGUACAGAGACAGGUCAUUAAGGAGCAGGUAGGGGUUAGGGCAUCUUGCUCAAGACGGUAGAAAUGGGGAUCGAACCAAGAACCUUUCAGCUGACAAACAUUUGUUUGUCAGCCUGUCCGCCUGUCCUCGGUCCAAGAACCUCCCCUUAUCACUUCCUCGUUCGGAUCACCAGGAAACAGAUCUGCUCCAAUCACAGCGCUCCUUCCUGUUGUGACCGGCAGGCCGGGUGAACAUCUGGGUGGCUCGACUCCUGAAACAACAAAGCCUUUAUCUGGUUUGUCCAUUCUCUGUCGACCCCGCCCAUGUAAAGGAGCAGCUGGUGUGAAGAUAGAUAAUCCGCAGGCGAGUCCACAAUGGCAAGUCCACAA
ensembl:lncRNA